AAGUUGGAGCAUCCUCCUUAUAAACAGUGUUCCCUUUUUUUCUCCUUCUUUCCCCCUCUUGCCCACGUGUUCUCUUUUAUUACCCAUCAAACUGCCAUUUUCAUCAGUAAACAUCAAAAUAAAGAUCCUGUAUUAAACCGCCAUUUUCAUCCCUUUCUUUCUCCUUUUUUCCUCCUCCUGCCCACGUGUUCUCUUCCACGCCAUUUUCAUCAGUAAACUCAAACAACCAUUUACUUAUAUUAAUUUUACAAACGGAUCAAAACCAACAACGAUAUCGAAUAUCAUUCGAAUCAAUACGGGAAAAAAAUAAUUCACUAGAAAAGUUUAUUCUGCUGUUGCUGGUCUUCGGGUUUGUGUCUAAGCUCAUUAAGAGGUUCAUGCAGUCCAGCAAUUUGAGUUGCAGCUCAUGAAGCAAAAAGGUUAGGUCUCAAAAUUGAAUUUUAACAGUGGUAAGUGAGUUAAUUUGUUGUCCUUUGAAAGUUUUACUGUCCUUAUUGAUUUCGAAUUUGGGAGAUACGUCAUGGCAUUGGAACACAUCCCCGAGAAAGAUGUUUGGAGGCCCUAAUUAGUUUGGGAAACUGUGUUAUGGUGUGGUGUCUUGACAGAUUACAAAGCCAGUUUACGACAAUCAACUAUCGAGGCAUCUGCACUAGAGAUUGAAGCAUAUCCAUUGCUUGACAAACUAACAUCAAAGAUCAGUAUUUUAAAUUUAGAGCGUGUGCGCCGAUUGAAAAGAAGACUUGUUGCUUUAACUCGGAGAGUCUAGAAGGUUAGGGAUGAGAUAGAGCAGUUGAUGAAUGAUGAUGGGGAUAUGGUAGAAAUGUAUCUUACAGAGAAGAAGUUACGAAUGGAAAUGUCAAUGUAUGAUUCACGAAGACUAGAGAAAAGUUUCAGCUUAUCAAGAAGCCGUCAUGGAAGCAUGAGAAGUUCAGAAAGUGCUACAUAGGGUAUAGAAGAACUGAAAAUAUUGUUGGAAGCGUAUCUUGUGGUCAUUGACAGCACCUAUAACAAGCUUGCAUCGCCGAAGAAAUACAUUGAGGACACUGAAGAUUUCCUUAACAUUCGGUUGGUAUGUGUGGUUCAUGUUUAUGAAUAGAGAAAUGAGAAUAUGAAAUUGAACAUAGUUGAAGAAAGAGUGGAAAGGAUAACUAAAGGAAUUAGGCAUGUUGAUAAUCAGUUAAUAAGAGCCUCAGUUCUUGGCCCUUGUCUCCUGGUGUUUGAUCCUUUUUUUUUUUAGGCCAUGUUAGAGCUUUUAGUUUGACGAGUUACAGUUAUAUACUACAUA